GAUGAAGAACGUAGCGAAAUGCGAUAAGUAAUGUGAAUUGCAGAAUUCAGUGAAUCAUCGAAUCUUUGAACGCACAUUGCGCCCCUUGGUAUUCCGAGGGGCAUGCCUGUUCGAGCGUCACUAUCACCCCUCAAGCUUUGCUUGGUGUUGGGGCCUGCUGUAAUAGGCAGCCCUUAAAAUCAGUGGCGGUGCUUCAAGGCUCUAAGCGUAGUAAUUCUCCUCGCUAUAGUGUCUAGUGGUUGCCAGCCAGAACCCCCCAAUUUUCAUGAUUGACCUCGGAUCAGGUAGGGAUACCCGCUGAACUUAAGCAUAUCAAUAAGCGGAGGA
rnacentral:misc_RNA from 1 species